CAUGUUUUUGCCUCCAGCUAUUUUUUUCCUGUGCAAAACUGCUGUCUCAUGUUUUUUUUUUAUUUACAUGCUAAGGGAUCAACAGAGGAUUAGAUGUUUAAACAACACGUCAAGGAGAAAGCCAUAUAAUUGCAUAACAGAGUGGAUCUGUAUAGGAACAGGACUUCACUGACAGGACCGCCUGACAUUCUCCAAAGAAUUCCGGUUUCUGCAUACUAAUCUCGCAGAACGUCACUUCACCUCGUCCAGCUCAUGUUCGGCUGAUGGAGCUUUGACAACGUGCUGGAUUCCACAUAAACAUGAUGGUCCACUGAUCCAGUUCCUGUUUGCUGGGACACUCUAUAGUGAACGGUCAGUGGCGGCGAGACUACCUUAUCCUCAGGGAAACUCAGUGACUCAGCGCUGCUGCUCAGGUGGAUGUGAGUGUGUGUUUGUUGACCGUGUGUGAACGGUAAUGGUUGUUCAAUCACUCAGCAGCGUCUCUGACGUGUCUUCAGAGUUUGCUUGUGUCUGCGGACUGUUGGUUCAUUGAUGUGUCUUGUUUUUUGUGUUCCCAUGAUGUCUGGUAUAAAUAAUGAAGCCUUUCAUAGGGUUUUUUAUACUAAAGCAGUACCACAGUAUUAUUCCAGUGCACUAUUUAAAUGUAUUUGGUAGCACUAUGCAUAAGAUCAGCUGCUAAAUAAAUAAAUGUAAAAGUAAUCCAGUACCAUGACAUUUCAAUCUGAU